ACUGAAUAGUAGAGAUUCCUCCCUAACUUUUAUAAAGUGUAAGGGCACAAAUCCCGAAGCCAUUUGUUUUAUGCAGAAAUACUGCCGUCUACAAGUUCAUUUAAUGAUGUUGAAAGUUUCUUGGAUUAAGAUUUGACUGAAAAGGGGCAAUAUAGAAGAGGCAGUAGUUGACUUGAUGCAUAUCUUCGCUUUGCCUUGUCAUAGACCAGACUGUUUUCAAUGUUUAGAAUAUAUGGGAAGGGAAGCUAAAAUGAAAAUAUUCUCUGGAUCCCAAAAUAAUGCUAUUUUCUAAUGGGGUGUAAUAUUGGUAUUGAUAAAUAUUUGGCUAUUUCUUUCUGAUGAUGAAAGUAAUGCAUAUUCAUGUAUCUGUGUUACAGGUCAUUGUCACAAGUCACAAGUGGCUCCGGUCUGGUUUGGGGGUCUACCCUAGCUCAUCCUGUCCUGCCACCCACACAAAAAGAGAAAUAACUACAGGCCUCUGCAACUGCUGUCUCUAGGAACGGUACGCAAGUGUCCAGUGACAGCCCAGGCAACCGAUACCGUAGCGACAUUCACCAAUGUGCUGGCGCAUGACCGAGAAGGGGGGACGUCGCAAACGCCAGUGUGAAGGAGCAAGC